CCCGAUGUGACAGAAAAAUGUACUAGAUUUAAAAUCUAUAAAUGGCUUAGCCCUUCGGUA
rnacentral:tRNA from 1 species